rnacentral:rRNA from 1 species
UACGUAGGGCGCAAGCGUUGUCCGGAAUUAUUGGGCGUAAAGAGCUCGUAGGCGGUUUGUUGCGUCUGCUGUGAAAACCUAAGGCUCAACCUUGGGCUUGCAGUGGGUACGGGCAGACUAGAGUGCGGUAGGGGUGACUGGAAUUCCUGGUGUAGCGGUGGAAUGCGCAGAUAUCAGGAGGAACACCGAUGGCGAAGGCAGGUCACUGGGCCGCAACUGACGCUGAGGAGCGAAAGUGUGGGGAGCGAACAGG